UACGGAGGAUGCAAGCGUUAUCCGGAAUGAUUGGGCGUAAAGCGUCCGCAGGUGGCUGUGUAAGUCUGCUGUUAAAGAGUCAUGCUCAACAUGAUAAGAGCAGUGGAAACUACACAGCUAGAGUGCGUUCGGGGCAGAGGGAAUUCCUGGUGUAGCGGUGAAAUGCGUAGAGAUCAGGAAGAACACCGGUGGCGAAAGCGCUCUGCUAGGCCGCAACUGACACUGAGGGACGAAAGCUAGGGGAGCGAAUGGG
rnacentral:rRNA from 1 species